rnacentral:lncRNA from 1 species
AUCAGCUGUUUAUUUCCCUGGAUAAUCAGUGGAGUGUAACAGGGUAAAUCAAGAGAAGCUUGGACUCUUGGUGAAACUUGUAACAAGCAAGAUUAGAUGAAUAAAUAUUAUUAUGUUGUUAAAAAAAAAAACAACUAUAGGUCACCGUACGGCCUUCAACAAUGAGCAAAGCCCAUACCGCAUUGUCAGAUAUAAAAGGCCCCGAUAAGACAAUGUAAAACAAUUCAAACGAGAAAACUAACGGCCUUAUUUAUGUAAAAAAAUGAACGAAAAACAAAUAUGUAACACAUAAACAAACGACAACCACUGAAUUACAGGCUCCUGACUUGGAACAGGCACAUACAUAAAUAAUGUGGCGGGGUUAAACAUGUUAGCGG